UACGUAGGGGGCAAGCGUUGUCCGGAUUUACUGGGCGUAAAGAGCGUGUAGGCGGCCAAGCAGGUCCGUUGUGAAAACUGGAGGCUUAACCUCCAGACGUCGACGGAAACCGCGCGGCUAGAGUCCGGAAGAGGAGAGUGGAACUGCGAGUGUAGAGGUGAAAUUCGUAGAUAUUCACAAGAACACCAGUGGCGAAGGCGGCUCACUGGCCCGGUACUGACGCUGAGGUGCGAAAGCGUGGGGAGCAAACAGG
rnacentral:rRNA from 1 species